GACGAACGCUGGCGGCGUGCUUAACACAUGCAAGUCGAGCGGUAAGGCCCUUCGGGGUACACGAGCGGCGAACGGGUGAGUAACACGUGAGUAAUCUGCCCAUCACUUCGGGAUAACUCCGGGAAACCGGUGCUAAUACCGAAUAUGACCACUUCAGGCAUCUGAUGGUGGUGGAAAGUUCCGGCGGUGAUGGAUGAGCUCGCGGCCUAUCAGCUUGUUGGUGGGGUAGUGGCCUACCAAGGCUUCGACGGGUAGCCGGCCUGGGAGGGUGACCGGCCACACGGGGACGGGGAACCGGCCCGGCCCCCACGGGGGGGCAGGAGUGGGGAAUAUGGGAAAAGGGGCGAAACCCUGACCCAGCAACCCCGGGUGGGGGAGGACGGCCUUGGGGUUGUAACCCUUUUUCAGCAGGGACGAAGCGAAAGGAACGGUCCCUGAAAAAGAAGCCCCGGCCAACUACGU
rnacentral:rRNA from 1 species